rnacentral:rRNA from 1 species
CACGGGGGGAGCAAGCGUUGUUCGGAUUCAUUGGGCGUAAAGGGUGCGUAGGCGGCGCGGUAAGUCGGGUGUGAAAUCUCGGAGCUUAACUCCGAAACUGCAUUCGAUACUGCCGUGCUUGAGGACUGGAGAGGAGACUGGAAUUUACGGUGUAGCGGUGAAAUGCGUAGAUAUCGUAAGGAAGACCAGUGGCGAAGGCGGGUCUCUGGACAGUUCCUGACGCUGAGGCACGAAGGUCAGGGGAGCAAACGGG